AUUGAACGCUGGCGGCAGGCCUAACACAUGCAAGUCGGACGGUAGCACAGAGGAGCUUGCUCCUCGGGUGACGAGUGGCGGACGGGUGAGUAAUGUCUGGGGAUCUGCCCGAUAGAGGGGGAUAACCACUGGAAACGGUGGCUAAUACCGCAUAACGUCGCAAGACCAAAGAGGGGGACCUUCGGGCCUCUCACUAUCGGAUGAACCCAGAUGGGAUUAGCUAGUAGGCGGGGUAACGGCCCACCUAGGCGACGAUCCCUAGCGGGUCUGAGAGGAUGACCAGCCACACUGGAACUGAGACACGGUCCAGACUCCUACGGGAGGCAGGAGUGGGGAAUAUUGCACAAUGGGCGCAAGCCUGAUGCAGCCAUGCCGCGUGUAUGAAGAAGGCCUUCGAGUUGUAAAGUACUUUCAGCGGGGAGGAAGGCGAUGUGGUUAAUAACCGCGUCGAUUGACGUUACCCGCAGAAGAAGCACCGGCUAACUCCGUGCCAGCCGCCGCCGUAA
rnacentral:rRNA from 1 species